UACGGAGGGUGCAAGCGUUAUCCGGAUUCACUGGGUUUAAAGGGUGCGUAGGCGGAGAGGGAAGUCCGUGGUGAAAUCCUGCAGCUUAACUGCAGAACUGCCGUGGAUACUCUCUAUCUUGAAUAUCGUGGAGGUUAGCGGAAUAUGUCAUGUAGCGGUGAAAUGCUUAGAGAUGAUAUAGAGCACCCAUUGCGAAGGCAGCUAACUACGCGAUCAUUGACGCUGAUGCACGAAAGCGUGGGGAUCAAACAGG
rnacentral:rRNA from 1 species